rfam:Rozella allomycis CSF55 unplaced genomic scaffold scaffold_3116, whole genome shotgun sequence.
GCUCAUAUAGUAUAACGGUUAGUACGUAGCGUUGUGGCCGCUAAUAUCCCGGUUCGAUUCCGGGUAUGGGCA